UACGGAGGGUGCAAGCGUUAAUCGGAAUUACUGGGCGUAAAGCGUGCGCAGGCGGUUUGUUAAGUCUGUUGUGAAAUCCCCGAGCUCAACUUGGGAAUUGCAAUGGAUACUGGCAGGCUGGAGUAUGGAAGAGGAAGGUGGAAUUCCCGGUGUAGCAGUGAAAUGCGCAGAGAUCGGGAGGAACACCAGUGGCGAAGGCGGCCUUCUGGACCAAUACUGACGCUCAUGCACGAAAGCGUGGGGAGCAAACAGG
rnacentral:rRNA from 1 species